rnacentral:rRNA from 1 species
AGAGUUUGAUCCUGGCUCAGAAUGAACGCUGGCGGCGUGCUUAACACAUGCAAGUCGAACGGUAACAGAAGCAGCUUGCUGCUUGCUGACGAGUGGCGCACGGGUGAGUAAUAUAUAGGUAAUGUGCCCCUUGGACCGGGAUAGCCACUGGAAAUGGUGAUUAAUACUGGAUACUCCUUUUAAUCAAAAGAUUAAUCGGGAAAUGGAUUCCGCCAAGGGAUCGGCCUAUAUCCUAUCAGCUAGUUGGUGAGGUAAAAGCUUACCAAGGCAAUGACGCGUAGCUGGUCUGAGAGGAUGAUCAGCCACACUGGAACUGAGACACGGUCCAGACUCCUACGGGAGGCAGCAGUGGGGAAUAUUGGGCAAUGGGGGAAACCCUGACCCAGCAAUGCCGCGUGGAGGAAGAAGCAUUUCGGUGUGUAAACUCCUUUUGUAAGGGAAGAAGAUGACGGUACCUUACGAAUAAGCUCCGGCUAACUCCGUGCCAGCAGCCGCGGUAAUACGGGGGGAGCGAGCGUUACUCGGAAUCACUGGGCGUAAAGGGUGCGUAGGCGGUUUAUUAAGUUGGAAGUGAAAUCCUAUGGCUCAACCAUAGAACUGCUUCCAAAACUGGUAGACUAGAAUCCGGGAGAGGCCAAGGGAAUUCCUGGUGUAGGGGUGAAAUCCGUAGAGAUCAGGAGGAAUGCCGAAAGCGAAGGCGCUUGGCCGGAACGGAAUUGACGCUGAGGCACGAAAGCGUGGGGAGCAAACAGGAUUAGAUACCCUGGUAGUCCACGCCCUAAACGAUGGGUACUAGCGGUUGGGGGGACAGUCCUUCAGUCACGCAGCAAACGCGAUAAGUACCCCGCCUGGGGAGUACGGCCGCAAGGUUAAAACUCAAAGGAAUAGACGGGGACCCGAACAAGCGGUGGAGCAUGUGGUUUAAUUCGAAGAUACGCGAAGAACUUAC